UACGGAGGGUGCAAGCGUUUGUUCGGAAUCACUGGGCGUAAAGGGCGCGUAGGCGGCGUGUUAAGUCAGACGUGAAAUCCCACGGCUCAACCGUGGAAGUGCAUUUGAUACUGGCAAGCUUGAGUACUGGAGGGGAUGGUGGAAUUCCCGGUGUAGAGGUGAAAUUCGUAGAUAUCGGGAGGAAUACCGGUGGCGAAGGCGGCCACCU
rnacentral:rRNA from 1 species